rnacentral:rRNA from 1 species
GGCAAUACUACGGCUACACAUGCAGUCGAGGGGCAGCAUUUUAGUUUGCUUGCAAACUGAAGAUGGCGACCGGCGCACGGGUGAGUAACACGUAUCCAACCUGCCGAUAACUCCGGAAUAGCCUUUCGAAAGAAAGAUUAAUACCGGAUGGUAUACGAAUAUCGCAUGAUAUUUUUAUUAAAGAAUUUCGGUUAUCGAUGGGGAUGCGUUCCAUUAGUUUGUUGGCGGGGUAACGGCCCACCAAGACUACGAUGGAUAGGGGUUCUGAGAGGAAGGUCCCCCACAUUGGAACUGAGACACGGUCCAAACUCCUACGGGAGGCAGCAGUGAGGAAUAUUGGUCAAUGGGCGCGAGCCUGAACCAGCCAAGUAGCGUGAAGGAUGAAGGCUCUAUGGGUCGUAAACUUCUUUUAUAUGGGAAUAAAGUUUUCCACGUGUGGAAUUUUGUAUGUACCAUAUGAAUAAGGAUCGGCUAACUCCGUGCCAGCAGCCGCGGUAAUACGGAGGAUCCGAGCGUUAUCCGGAUUUAUUGGGUUUAAAGGGAGCGUAGGUGGAUUGUUAAGUCAGUUGUGAAAGUUUGCGGCUCAACCGUAAAAUUGCAGUUGAAACUGGCAGUCUUGAGUACAGUAGAGGUGGGCGGAAUUCGUGGUGUAGCGGUGAAAUGCUUAGAUAUCACGAAGAACUCCGAUUGCGAAGGCAGCUCACUAGACUGUCACUGACACUGAUGCUCGAAAGUGUGGGUAUCAAACAGGAUUAGAUACCCUGGUAGUCCACACAGUAAACGAUGAAUACUCGCUGUUUGCGAUAUACAGUAAGCGGCCAAGCGAAAGCAUUAAGUAUUCCACCUGGGGAGUACGCCGGCAACGGUGAAACUCAAAGGAAUUGACGGGGGCCCGCACAAGCGGAGGAACAUGUGGUUUAAUUCGAUGAUACGCGAGGAACCUUACCCGGGCUUAAAUUGCAACAGAAUAUAUUGGAAACAGUAUAGCCGUAAGGCUGUUGUGAAGGUGCUGCAUGGUUGUCGUCAGCUCGUGCCGUGAGGUGUCGGCUUAAGUGCCAUAACGAGCGCAACCCUUAUCUUUAGUUACUAACAGGUCAUGCUGAGGACUCUAGAGAGACUGCCGUCGUAAGAUGUGAGGAAGGUGGGGAUGACGUCAAAUCAGCACGGCCCUUACGUCCGGGGCUACACACGUGUUACAAUGGGGGGUACAGAAGGCGGCUACCUGGUGACAGGAUGCUAAUCCCAAAAACCUCUCUCAGUUCGGAUCGAAGUCUGCAACCCGACUUCGUGAAGCUGGAUUCGCUAGUAAUCGCGCAUCAGCCAUGGCGCGGUGAAUACGUUCCCGGGCCUUGUACACACCGCCCGUCAAGCCAUGAAAGCCGGGGGUACCUGAAGUACGUAACCGCAAGGAGCGUCCUAGGGUAAAACCUGAAG